rnacentral:rRNA from 1 species
CUCAGAAUGAACGCUGGCGGCAUGGCUAAGACAUGCAAGUCGAACGGACCAUAUAAUUGGGUAACCGAAAGUAUGGUUAGUGGCGAAAGGGUGAGGAAUAGAUAGGAACGUACCCUGUGCUCUGGGAUAGCGUCUGAAGCUUCGGCUUCUUCCGAAAGGGGCGGUAAUACCAGAUAAUGUCCUUCGGGACCAAAGAUUUAUCGGUAUUGGAGCGGCCUAUCUCCUAUCAGCUUGUUGGUGAGGUAACGGCUCACCAAGGCAACGACGGGUAGCGGGACUGAGAGGUUGGCCCGCCACAUCGGGACUGAGACACUGCCCGGACCUCCACGGAGGGCUGCAGUAACGGAUAUUGGGCAAUGGGCGAAAGCCUGACCCAGCAAUGCCGCGUGCAGGAUGAAGCCCCUAGGGGUGUAAACUGCUGUCAGGGGUCAGAAAGCUGGUUUCGGCCAGUUGAUCAACCCCAGAGGAAGUCACGGCUAACUUCGUGCCAGCAGCCGCGGUAAUACGAAGGUGGCAAGCGUUAUUCGGAAUCAUUGGGCUUAAAGGGCACGCAGGCGGAACAGUGUGUGUUGUGUGAAAUCCCCCGGCUUAACCGGGGAAUUGCACAGCANACUGCUGUUCUUGAGGCAGGUAGGGGUGCAUGGAACUCUUGGUGGAGCGGUGGAAUGCGUAGAUAUCAAGAGGAACGCCAGAGGUGAAGACGGUGCACUGGGCCUGUCCUGACGCUGAGGUGCGAAAAGCGUGGGGAGCGAACGGGAUUAGAUACCCCGGUAGUCCACGCCGUAAACGAUGUCUACUAGGUCGUGGGUGUUCUGACCCAUUCACGGGCGGGAGCAAAAGUGUUUAGUAGACCGCCCUGGGGAGUACGGCCCGCAAGGUUAAACCUCAAAUGAAUUGACGGGGGCUCACACAAGCGGUGGAGCAUGUGGAUUAAUUCGAAGCAACGCGCAGAACCUUACCUGGGUUUGACAUGCUUGUAUGCCUUCUCUGAAAGGAGUUAGGCUGCCUUCGGGUGAAACUUGCACAGGUGCUGCAUGGCUGUCGUCAGCUCGUGUCGUGAGAUGUCGGGUUAAGUCCUUUAACGAGCGAACUCCUUGCCGUUAGUUGCCAGCGAGUAAUGUCGGGGACUCUAACGGGACUGCCGGUGUUAAACCGGAGGAAGGUGGGGAUGACGUCAAGUCCUCAUGGCCUUUAUGCCCAGGGCUUCACACGUGCUACAAUGGCAAUUACAGAGCGACGCGAUACCGCGGGGUGGAGCAAAUCGCAAAAAAAUUGCCUCAGUUCGGAUUGCAGGCUGGCGAUUCGCCUGCAUGAAGUCGGAAU